GUGCAUGUCAAGUGUGCCUCAGAGUCUUACCCCACCCACGUAUCAAUUUUGAAAACUGCAACAUUAGUAGGCGUUGCCUGGAGGACCGAGAGGGCGGAGCCGUGGCAGUGACGAAGAGACGGCUAACUAGACGAAGCUAGCUCCCUUCACUCUGAGCAGUCAUUAGAAGUGGAGGACGUUUCUCCCCCUCCUUACCCAGACACUCGAGAAGAAAGGGACCAAGUCUAUUUGGAGGAGACAACCGGACAUGAGCCUUAUUGUUUUGAGCUUGUGAGUUGCCUGAAAUUACUGGAACCGACCCAACAGACCCAUCUCUGAACGUGAUCCUCUGGUGUCUGCAGCUGGUCUCCUGCUGAUGUCGUCGGGAUCAGGAACUUCCAGAAGAAUGUGCCUUUCAAUGACUCUUUCCCCCUUAUUUGUUAUAUUAAUUAAAUAAAUCUCAAUUUAUA